AAGGAGUGAAGCCUUCUAAGUACAGUACCUGGCACAACGAAUUGUCAAGCAAAUGGCAAAUCUUCUCUGCAGAGGGGAACUGAGACCCAGUACUCACAAUCCAUUCUGGAGUCUCCUCAUAAUCCUGAAGAGGGAAGCCCAGAGGAAAUCAUCUGGUCUAACCAUAAAAUCAUCAAUACUGAGAAAUUAAAAGGGGAACAUGUCAGGCCUCACUCUUUCUGUAUUGGAUUUCAAGAGUAUUGUCCUUGAGGGAAAGCCAUCUCCUUCUUGACACCAUGGCUACCCUUAGACCCCUCGUGAAGCCCAAGAUCAUCUAAGAUGGACCAAGAAGUUUAUCCUUCACCAGUCAGACUGACAUAUCAAAAUUAGAUGUACGCAUAUAGCAGCAACCCAGAGGCAUUGACAACAGGGUGGGGAGAAAAAUCAAAGGCGAGACCUUGAUCCCCAACAUUGGUUGUGGGAGCAAAAAGAAGCAAAACACAUGCUCCCCAGUGGCUUCCAAAAAUUCCUGUUCCACGAUGUCAAAGAGCUGGAAGUGCUGCUGAUGUGCAACAAAUCUUACUGUGCUGAGAUUGCUCAACAUGCUUCUCCAAGAACGGUUAAAGCCACUGUGGAGAGAGUAACCCGACAGCCCAGCAGAGUCACUAGUCCCAAUGCCAGGCUGCACAGCAAGAAAAAUUAAUAGACAGCUCAUGUACACAUUUUAUUUGUGUUAAAUAAAACCAUAAAUACUCUGUCA
rnacentral:lncRNA from 1 species